AUGCUGUGAGGACAGUCAAGAAACCCUAUGGUGAGGAACUGAGAUUUCCAUCCAACAUCGAGCAUCAACUUGGUUAAUAUUUGAGUAAACCACCUUGGAAGUAGAUCCUUUAACUUAUGUCAAGUCUUUAGAUGCCUGCAGACAUGACCAGUAUUUUAAAUGCAACUCAUGAAAGACCCCAACAUCCAACAGAGCAACUUCCAAAUUCCUGACCCAUAGCAACUGUGUGAGAUGAUAAAUAUUUAUUGUUGUUUUAAGCUUCUAAAUUUGAGUUCAGUGACUGUCCUUGAUAGAAGUACUUGGGGAACUUUGAAGAAGCCCAGUUUCAGGAGCAAAGGGUUGCUUAGUAGUUGCAGGAAGAAUUGGCAUCUGUUCCUUACAUCAUCUUGGAGCUUUCACUGUUGGCACCUAUAACACCUGCUAUGUC